GAUAAGAAUCAUCUUAUCAGAAAUAAGAGGAGGAAGUCGGGAAAAAAGCCGAAGGAUUCGAAAAACAAAAGAAAAGAGAGAGAGAGAACGCCAGAGAAAUAAUGAAGAGUUUACAAUUCGGGAGCACGUUCUUCUGUGAACGGGAACGCAACUGGUGGUGAUUGUUAACCAUCAUCUUCUUGUCGGUUCAGAUCACGCACCUCAAUCAAGGUUUGUUUACACCUUCGGAUGGCCUUUGUUUCUGCUGCAAAAGUCUUAUCGCGUCUCACUUGUGUGUUCGACCUGAAUCCAUUUAUUCCGUUCGUCGUUCAAGAAAAGAAAGAAAGAAAAGGAGGGUUAAGUAAGUCUGUGAGUUUGAGAGAGCAGUUUUUCUUAUCAUGUGAAAAACAAGGCACGAAAAAGAAGAUAGGUGCACCGAAGGUAAAAAAAAAGGUGGACGUGCUGGUCCAUUGCGCUCCCACCUGAUGACUCUGCGGCCACCCGAACUGAUUACGAAGCCGAGGCAUUCCACCUCACGUAGUCUUUUGUUUGUUUUGUUUUUUUGUGUUCUUUUCUCUCUUUGCAUUUUUAAUUUUCUUUUCUCUUCAAAGUCUGUGUGGUUGUUUUUCUACCUUCUCGCAGUUGGAUUAAAGCCAAGUUCCAUCAAACUGGAAGAGCUGCAACCAAUAACGGCCAGGUAUUGGGGCCAAAAAAUAAGACGGGGCAACCAGAAACCGAUUGAAACCGCCGCCUUCCGCCUCUAGCCCGCGUCACGUUGCUAACACACACACACACAUACACACACAGAUACACUUAGACGUACAAGAACGAGAGAGAAAGA